ACAAGCAGCGGAGCGUGUGGUUUAAUUCGUUGCUACACGAAGAACCUUACCUGGGUUUGACAUAUAAGUUGUAGGGAACUGAAAGGACGACCUUCGGGAGCUUAUACAGGUGUUGCAUGGCUGUCGUCAGCUCGUGUCGUGAGAUGUUCGGUUAAGUCCGCUAACGAGCGCAACCCUCGCCGUAUGUUACAAGUGUCAUACGGGACUGCCGGUAAAAGCCGGAGGAAGGUGAGGAUGAUGUCAAGUCAGCAUGACCUUUAUAUCCAGGGCUACACACACGCUACAAUGGUCUGUACAAUUGGUUGCCAAGCCGCGAGGCGGAGCCAAUCCGUAAAGCAGGCCUCAGUUCAGAUUGCAGUCUGCAACUCGACUGCAUGAAGCCGGAGUUGCUAGUAACCGCAGGUCAGCAAUACUGCGGUGAAUACGUUCCCGGGUCUU
rnacentral:rRNA from 1 species